rnacentral:rRNA from 1 species
CAAGUAGGCGGUCUAAUAAGCGAGGGGUGAAAUCUUCCGACUCAAUCGGAAAACUGCCUUUCGAACUGUUAGACUUGAGGUAUGUAGAGGGAAGUGGAAUUUCCGGUGUAAGGGUGAAAUCUGUAGAUAUCGGAAAGAACACCAACGGCGAAGGCAACUUCCUGGGCAUAUCCUGACGCUAAAUUGCGAAAGCUAGGGGAGCAAACAGGAUUAGAUACCCUGGUAGUCC